UUAAGCGACUAAGCGUACACGGUGGAUGCCCUGGCAGUCAGAGGCGAUGAAGGGCGUGCUAAUCUGCGAUAAGCGCCGGUAAGGUGAUAUGAACCGUUAUAACCGGCGAUACCCGAAUGGGGAAACCCAGUGUGAUUCGUCACACUAUCAUUAACUGAAUCCAUAGGUUAAUGAGGCGAACCGGGGGAACUGAAACAUCUAAGUACCCCGAGGAAAAGAAAUCAACCGAGAUUCCCCCAGUAGCGGCGAGCGAACGGGGAGGAGCCCAGAGCCUGAAUCAGCAUGUGUGUUAGUGGAAGCGUCUGGAAAGGCGCGCGAUACAGGGUGACAGCCCCGUACACAAAAGCGCAUGUGCUGUGAGCUCGAUGAGUAGGGCGGGACACGUGGUAUCCUGUCUGAAUAUGGGGGGACCAUCCUCCAAGGCUAAAUACUCCUGACUGACCGAUAGUGAACCAGUACCGUGAGGGAAAGGCGAAAAGAACCCCGGCGAGGGGAGUGAAAAAGAACCUGAAACCGUGUACGUACAAGCAGUGGGAGCACAGGUUUACCUGUGUGACUGCGUACCUUUUGUAUAAUGGGUCAGCGACUUAUAUUCUGUAGCAAGGUUAACCGAAUAGGGGAGCCGGAGGGAAACCGAGUCUUAAUUGGGCGUUAAGUUGCAGGGUAUAGACCCGAAACCCGGUGAUCUAGCCAUGGGCAGGUUGAAGGUUGGGUAACACUAACUGGAGGACCGAACCGACUAAUGUUGAAAAAUUAGCGGAUGACCUGUGGCUGGGGGUGAAAGGCCAAUCAAACCGGGAGAUAGCUGGUUCUCCCCGAAAGCUAUUUAGGUAGCGCCUCGUGAAUUCAUCUCCGGGGGUAGAGCACUGUUUCGGCUAGGGGGCCAUCCCGGCUUACCAACCCGAUGCAAACUGCGAAUACCGGAGAAUGUUAUCACGGGAGACACACGGCGGGUGCUAACGUCCGUCGUGAAGAGGGAAACAACCCAGACCGCCAGCUAAGGUCCCAAAGUCAUGGUUAAGUGGGAAACGAUGUGGGAAGGCCCAGACAGCCAGGAUGUUGGCUUAGAAGCAGCCAUCAUUUAAAGAAAGCGUAAUAGCUCACUGGUCGAGUCGGCCUGCGCGGAAGAUGUAACGGGGCUAAACCAUGCACCGAAGCUGCGGCAGCGACGCUGAUGCGUUGUUGGGUAGGGGAGCGUUCUGUAAGCCUGCGAAGGUGGCCUGUGAGGGUUGCUGGAGGUAUCAGAAGUGCGAAUGCUGACAUAAGUAACGAUAAAGCGGGUGAAAAGCCCGCUCGCCGGAAGACCAAGGGUUCCUGUCCAACGUUAAUCGGGGCAGGGUGAGUCGACCCCUAAGGCGAGGCCGAAAGGCGUAGUCGAUGGGAAACGGGUUAAUAUUCCCGUACUUGGUGUUACUGCGAAGGGGGGACGGAGAAGGCUAUGUUGGCCGGGCGACGGUUGUCCCGGUUUAAGCGUGUAGGCUGGUUUUCCAGGCAAAUCCGGAAAAUCAAGGCUGAGGCGUGAUGACGAGGCACUACGGUGCUGAAGCAACAAAUGCCCUGCUUCCAGGAAAAGCCUCUAAGCAUCAGGUAACAUCAAAUCGUACCCCAAACCGACACAGGUGGUCAGGUAGAGAAUACCAAGGCGCUUGAGAGAACUCGGGUGAAGGAACUAGGCAAAAUGGUGCCGUAACUUCGGGAGAAGGCACGCUGACACGUAGGUGAAGUGAUUUACUCAUGGAGCUGAAGUCAGUCGAAGAUACCAGCUGGCUGCAACUGUUUAUUAAAAACACAGCACUGUGCAAACACGAAAGUGGACGUAUACGGUGUGACGCCUGCCCGGUGCCGGAAGGUUAAUUGAUGGGGUCAGCGCAAGCGAAGCUCCUGAUCGAAGCCCCGGUAAACGGCGGCCGUAACUAUAACGGUCCUAAGGUAGCGAAAUUCCUUGUCGGGUAAGUUCCGACCUGCACGAAUGGCGUAAUGAUGGCCAGGCUGUCUCCACCCGAGACUCAGUGAAAUUGAACUCGCUGUGAAGAUGCAGUGUACCCGCGGCAAGACGGAAAGACCCCGUGAACCUUUACUAUAGCUUGACACUGAACAUUGAGCCUUGAUGUGUAGGAUAGGUGGGAGGCUUUGAAGUGUGGACGCCAGUCUGCAUGGAGCCGACCUUGAAAUACCACCCUUUAAUGUUUGAUGUUCUAACGUGGACCCGUUACCCGGGUUGCGGACAGUGUCUGGUGGGUAGUUUGACUGGGGCGGUCUCCUCCUAAAGAGUAACGGAGGAGCACGAAGGUUGGCUAAUCCUGGUCGGACAUCAGGAGGUUAGUGCAAUGGCAUAAGCCAGCUUGACUGCGAGCGUGACGGCGCGAGCAGGUGCGAAAGCAGGUCAUAGUGAUCCGGUGGUUCUGAAUGGAAGGGCCAUCGCUCAACGGAUAAAAGGUACUCCGGGGAUAACAGGCUGAUACCGCCCAAGAGUUCAUAUCGACGGCGGUGUUUGGCACCUCGAUGUCGGCUCAUCACAUCCUGGGGCUGAAGUAGGUCCCAAGGGUAUGGCUGUUCGCCAUUUAAAGUGGUACGCGAGCUGGGUUUAGAACGUCGUGAGACAGUUCGGUCCCUAUCUGCCGUGGGCGCUGGAGAACUGAGGGGGGCUGCUCCUAGUACGAGAGGACCGGAGUGGACGCAUCACUGGUGUUCGGGUUGUCAUGCCAAUGGCACUGCCCGGUAGCUAAAUGCGGAAGAGAUAAGUGCUGAAAGCAUCUAAGCACGAAACUUGCCCCGAGAUGAGUUCUCCCUGAGACUUAGAGUCUCCUGAAGGAACGUUGAAGACGACGACGUUGAUAGGCCGGGUGUGUAAGCGCAGCGAUGCGUUGAGCUAACCGGUACUAAUGAACCGUGAGGCUUAACCUU
rnacentral:rRNA from 1 species